UUGGAAAAUUACAAGUUGCUUGCGUCACACUGACAAGUUAGUACUUCAGAUGACAAGUUAUCACGAAUAACGUGCGCAUGUGCAACCGUAUUUUUUCCCCGCUCUUUUCAUCUCCGGACUGUCAGCUAGCUAGCAUUUUCAUUUAAAACGGCCUUUUAACUAACAGGUACUUAAGGAAUUCAGACGAAUUUCGCUGGAAGCUCUUCCCAAAAAACUGAAAUCGGGAAUUCAGAAAUACAAUGAAAAACUUUUCUUAAUUGCUAAACACCAACAUCAAAAUC